rnacentral:rRNA from 1 species
AUACGGGGGGUGCAAGCGUUGUCCGGAAUCAUUGGGCGUAAAGGGUUCGUAGGUGGAAUUAUAAGUCUGGUGUGAAAGCCCACAGCUCAACUGUGGAACUGCACUGGAUACUGUUUUUCUUGAGUUAUAGAGGGGUUUGUGGAAUUUCUGGUGUAGAGGUGAAAUGUGUAGAGAUCAGAAAGAACACCGGUGGCGAAGGCGACAAACUGGCUAUUAACUGACACUGAGGAACGAAAGCGUGGGGAGCGAACAGGAUUAGAUACCCUAGUAGUCC